UACGAAGGGUGCAAGCGUUACUCGGAAUUACUGGGCGUAAAGCGUGCGUAGGUGGUGAGUUAAGUCUGUCGUGAAAGCCCCGGGCUCAACCUGGGAAUGGCGAUGGAUACUGGCUCGCUAGAGUGCGGUAGAGGAGAGUGGAAUUCCCGGUGUAGCAGUGAAAUGCGUAGAGAUCCGGAGGAACACCAGUGGCGAAGGCGGCUCGCUGGGCUCUACCUGACGCUGAGGCGCGAAAGCGUGGGGAGCGAACCGG
rnacentral:rRNA from 1 species